rnacentral:rRNA from 1 species
UACGUAGGGGGCAAGCGUUGUCCGGAUUUAUUGGGCGUAAAGAGCGUGUAGGCGGCUUGGUAGGUCCGCUGUGAAAACUCGAGGCUCAACCUCGAGAUGUCGGCGGAAACCACUUGGCUAGAGUCCGGAAGAGGAGAGUGGAAUUCCCGGUGUAGCGGUGAAAUGCGCAGAUAUCGGGAAGAACACCUAUGGCGAAGGCAGCUCUCUGGGACGGUACUGACGCUGAGGAGCGAAAGCGUGGGGAGCAAACAGG